rnacentral:rRNA from 1 species
AUUGAACGCUGGCGGCAUGCUUUACACAUGCAAGUCGAACGGACUUAGGUGCUUGCACCUAGGUUAGUGGCGAACGGGUGAGUAAUGCAUCGGAACGUACCGUGUAAUGGGGGAUAACGCAGCGAAAGUUGUGCUAAUACCGCAUACGAUCUACGGAUGAAAGCAGGGGAUCGCAAGACCUUGCGUUAUACGAGCGGCCGAUGUCGGAUUAGCUAGUUGGUAGGGUAAAGGCCUACCAAGGCAACGAUCCGUAGCGGGUCUGAGAGGAUGAUCCGCCACACUGGGACUGAGACACGGCCCAGACUCCUACGGGAGGCAGCAGUGGGGAAUUUUGGACAAUGGGCGCAAGCCUGAUCCAGCCAUGCCGCGUGAGUGAAGAAGGCCUCGGU